rnacentral:rRNA from 1 species
CACGUAGGAGGCGAGCGUUGUCCGGAAUCAUUGGGCGUAAAGAGCGCGCAGGCGGCUUGGCAAGUCGGGUGUGAAAUCCCCGGGGCUCAACCCCGUGACUGCAUCCGAUACUGUCAGGCUAGAGGUAGGUAGGGGAGAUCGGAAUUCCUGGUGUAGCGGUGAAAUGCGCAGAUAUCAGGAGGAACACCAAUGCGAAGGCAGCUCGCUGGGACGUUACUGACGCUGAGACGCGAAAGCGUGGG